UAGUGGCGAACGGGUGAGUAACACGUGGGCAAUCUGCCCUUCACUCUGGGACAAGCCCUGGAAACGGGGUCUAAUACCGGAUAACACUUCCUGCCGCAUGGCGGGGGGUUAAAAGCUCCGGCGGUGAAGGAUGAGCCCGCGGCCUAUCAGCUUGUUGGUGGGGUGAUGGCCUACCAAGGCGACGACGGGUAGCCGGCCUGAGAGGGCGACCGGCCACACUGGGACUGAGACACGGCCCAGACUCCUACGGGAGGCAGCAGUGGGGAAUAUUGCACAAUGGGCGAAAGCCUGAUGCAGCGACGCCGCGUGAGGGAUGACGGCCUUCGGGUUGUAAACCUCUUUCAGCAGGGAAGAAGCGAAAGUGACGGUACCUGCAGAAGAAGCGCCGGCUAACUACGUGCCAGCAGCCCGCGGUAAUACGUAGGGCGCAAGCGUUGUCCGGAAUUAUUGGGCGUNAAGAGCUCGUAGGCGGCUUGUCACGUCGGGAUGUGAAAGCCCGGGGCUUAACCCGGGGUCUGCAUUCGAUACGGGCUAGCUAGAGUNGUGGUAGGGGAGAUCGGAAUUCCU
rnacentral:rRNA from 1 species